CCUUCGGGGUGGAUUAGUGGCGAACGGGUGAGUAACACGUGGGCAAUCUGCCCUUCACUCUGGGACAAGCCCUGGAAACGGGGUCUAAUACCGGAUACCACUGCGGGAGGCAUCUCCUGCGGUUGAAAGCUCCGGCGGUGAAGGAUGAGCCCGCGGCCUAUCAGCUUGUUGGUGGGGUAAUGGCCCACCAAGGCGACGACGGGUAGCCGGCCUGAGAGGGCGACCGGCCACACUGGGACUGAGACACGGCCCAGACUCCUACGGGAGGCAGCAGUGGGGAAUAUUGCACAAUGGGCGAAAGCCUGAUGCAGCGACGCCGCGUGAGGGAUGACGGCCUUCGGGUUGUAAACCUCUUUCAGCAGGGAAGAAGCGAAAGUGACGGUACCUGCAGAAGAAGCGCCGGCUAACUACGUGCCAGCAGCCGCGGUAAUACGUAGGGCGCAAGCGUUGUCCGGAAUUAUUGGGCGUAAAGAGCUCGUAGGCGGCUUGUCACGUCGGAUGUGAAAGCCCGAGGCUUAACCUCGGGUCUGCAUUCGAUACGGGCUAGCUAGAGUGUGGUA
rnacentral:rRNA from 1 species